rnacentral:misc_RNA from 1 species
CUGCCCUGUACUUUGCUCGUAAUCUUGCGCAUACUGCCACACAAGCCUUUCUCCUAAUUCUUUCUUCUUCUCCACCACACCCUUCCACUCCUCCACACCCAUCUUCAACUCCAACUUGCUCUUCCCUUCACCCAACACUUUCUUCUCAAACUCCAUUGCAUCCUCAUGCCACACUCCCAAUGCACUAGCCUUCACUAAAGGUAGUUUUGGCAGGUUCUUGUACUUGUCAAAUGCUCUUGUGCUGCUGUUGCUUUUGUUAUUAUCAUCAAGUGACAAAACUGGAGGCUUUGGUAAUGGAUUUUUCUUGGGUUUUUGGUCAAACUGAGA